UACGACAAUAUCACGUUGAAUCACCGGUUUCCGUACGAUCACUGAAGUUAAGCAACGUCGAGACUGAUCAGUACCUAGAUGGGUAACCGCUUUGGAACACCAGGUGCUGUAA